GUCUUCUAUAUAACAACCUUAAGGAGCUAAGAUGAGUCUCCCGCCUAAAGUCAGAACAAGCGUUGUCUUUUGUCUGGGAUAUAGUAGUUAGCACCAAUCGUCUUUCUCUUACGUGGAUUGUCUGCCACAACUUCAGCUUUAGCCACCUCUGCUACAACCACUUCUGCCACCUUUGCUACAGCACCCUCUGCUACAGCCACCUUUGCCUCAACGUCUUCCUCUUCAACAAUGUCCUGUGGGUUUCGAUUUACGGUCUACUAGCUGCAGGGGAUUCAGAAGGUGCCAAGGCAUUGAUAUAAAAAAUUCCAAUAGAUGAUAAAGAUGUACAACAUAUCAUCGAAGAAAGUCGGUCUGCAUUUUCUCAAGCAC